rnacentral:rRNA from 1 species
CGGAACACGUACGCAACCUUCCCAGAACAGGUGAAUAGCCCUCCGAAAGGAGGAUUAAUACACCGUAAAAUAUAGCUGUGGCAUCACAAAUAUAUUAAAGGUAGCAAUAUCGGUUUUGGAUGGGCGUGCGCCUGAUUAGGUAGUUGGCGGGGUAACGGCCCACCAAGCCUCCGAUCAGUAACUGGUGUGAGAGCACGACCAGUCACACGGGCACUGAGACACGGGCCCG